UCCCCUAGUAACUGCGAGUGAAGCGGGAAAAGCUCAAAUUUGAAAUCUGGCAGUUUUUAACUGUCCGAGUUGUAAUCUAGAGAAGUGUUACCUGUGCUGGACCGUGUACAAGUCUCCUGGAAUGGAGCAUCAUAGAGGGUGAGAAUCCCGUCUUUGACAUGGACUACCAGUACUUUAUGGUGUGCUCUCAAAGAGUCGAGUUGUUUGGGAAUGCAGCUCAAAAUGGGUGGUAAAUGCCAUCUAAAGCUAAAUAUUGGCGAGAGACCGAUAGCGAACAAGUACCGUGAGGGAAAGAUGAAAAGAACUUUGGAAAGAGAGUUAAACAGUACGUGAAAUUGCUGAAAGGGAAACGCUUGAAGUCAGUCACGUCGGCUAGAAAUCAGCCUUGCUUUUGCUUGGUGUACUUUCUGGUUGAUGGGUCAGCAUCAAUUUUGACCAUUGGAUAAAGUCUUUGGGAAUGUGGCAUCCUUGGAUGUGUUAUAGCCCAUCGUCGCAUACAGUGGUUGGGAUUGAGGAACUCAGCACGCCGCAAGGCCGGGUUUCGACCACGUUCGUGCUUAGGAUGCUGGCAUAAUGGCUUUAAUCGACCCGUCUUGAAACACGGACCAAGGAGUCUAACAUGCCUGCGAGUGUUUGGGUGGAAAACUCAUGCGCGCAAUGAAAGUGAAAGUUGAGAUCCCUGAAAGGGGAGCAUUGACGCCCGGA
rnacentral:rRNA from 1 species